UGCAUUCAUUACUGUAAGUUGCUCUGGAUAAGAGUGUCUAUUAAAUGACUAAAA
rfam:Salmo salar isolate Sally breed double haploid chromosome ssa28, whole genome shotgun sequence.